GAUGAAGAACGUAGCGAAAUGCGAUACUUGGUGUGAAUUGCAGAAUCCCGUGAACCAUCGAGUCUUUGAACGCAAGUUGCGCCCGAAGCCAUCAGGUUGAGGGCACGUCUGCCUGGGCGUCACAUAUCGUUGCCCAAUGCCUAUUGCAGUGCAAUAGGAAUUUCUAGGGCGAAUGAUGGCUUCCCGUGAGCGUUGUUGCCUCGCGGUUGGUUGAAAAUCGAGUCCUUGGUAGGGUGUGCCAUGGUAGAUGGUGGUCGAGUUAGAACGAUACCGAUCAUGUGCAUGCUCCCCAAAAUAUGGCCUCUAUGACCCACACGCGUCUUUUGACGCUCAUGACGAGACCUCAGGUCAGGCGGGGCUACCCGCUGAAUUUAAGCAUAUCAAUAAGCAGAGGA
rnacentral:misc_RNA from 1 species